GAGCGCGCCUUUCGGGGCGAGCGGCGGACGGGUUAGUAACGCGUGGGAAUAUGCCCAAAGGUACGGAAUAGCCUCUGGAAACGGAGAGUAAUACCGUAUGUGCCCUUCGGGGGAAAGAUUUAUCGCCUUUGGAUUAGCCCGCGUUAGAUUAGGUAGUUGGUGGGGUAAUGGCCUACCAAGCCUACGAUCUAUAGCUGGUUUUAGAGGAUGAUCAGCAACACUGGGACUGAGACACGGCCCAGACUCCUACGGGAGGCAGCAGUGGGGAAUCUUAGACAAUGGGGGAAACCCUGAUCUAGCCAUGCCGCGUGAGUGACGAAGGCCCUAGGGUCGUAAAGCUCUUUCGCCAGGGAUGAUAAUGACAGUACCUGGUAAAGAAACCCCGGCUAACUCCGUGCCAGCAGCCGCGGUAAUACGGAGGGGGUUAGCGUUGUUCGGAAUUACUGGGCGUAAAGCGCGCGUAGGCGGGUUGUUAAGUUAGAGGUGAAAUCCCGGGGCUCAACCCCGGAACUGCCUUUAAUACUGGCAACCUAGAGUUCGAGAGAGGUGAGUGGAAUUCCGAGUGUAGAGGUGAAAUUCGUAGAUAUUCGGAGGAACACCAGUGGCGAAGGCGGCUCACUGGCUC
rnacentral:rRNA from 1 species